CAGGGGCAUGCGGCGUGAGGGGACCCGGGCCAGUGCCGGCUGCCCAAGGGGGUCUCUUAAGCCAAGGCUCGCCGAAGCCAGCCUCCCUGUCCCCUUAGUACCACCCGGACGCAGGGCUUACCCGGGAGGCAGCAACACAGGCAGCUCAGGAGCACCCAGUGGCCCCUGGUCCAGGGCCUCCCGCUCAUAGCUCCACACAGUCCUCGGCUGCAGCUGCGUGGCACAGAAGUGGCAGCGUGAGGAGCAGAGAGGGCGCCUGUCCCGGCCGCUGCCACCUCUCUCACAGGGCGGCUGUGACCACAUCCUGCAGCAGCGAUGCAUUCUCCCUCUGCUCUGGAGCUGGAA
rnacentral:lncRNA from 1 species